UCUAGUCUAUUGAAAAAUAGCCAAUUAAAUGAGUAUUUAUAUUAAACAAUAAUAUGUAUUGCUUUAAAGUACUGGUUGAUAUGGAAGAAGACAGAUGGGAUGUGUCCAAGUGUAGAACACUCACAGAAGACUUCUCAGAUAAAUAUAUGUCUCAGCUAAAAACCGAGUAGGAGAAUUUCAGGCAGAGUGAAACUCAGUUGCAAAAGGAGAUACACAGUUUGAGUCUUUUGAGGAUUUGAAAUAAGUUUAUUAUGGGUGAAUCAUAGAGUAUGAAUGAAGAAAGGUAGAGAGAUAAGUAUAGACCAGUUCAUGAAAUGUCUUGUCCACCUUUUAAAGUAAUUGAGCUUUGUCUUAAGAACAUGGGAAUCCAAUAAAGAGAAAAUAGCCUAUCAGAUUUGCAUGUUUUAAAGAUCUAUUAAGUAUGUACCCUGAGCUAAAAUACUUAUCAGAUCCUCAGGAGUUCAACACACAAAUAGGAGCAGUGUAAUGAGAUAAGGUCUGCAAUAGUUUAAAAUGCCAUUUAUACAAGCUUAUAUUCAUUAGACAAGUAUAAAAUGCCAUAGAAACACAGAUAAGAGAGCAAUUAAUAUUGUCUGUUAUGAGGGAAGUACUAAAGAAGACCUAAGAGAGAAUCAUUUUGAACUGGACCUGGCACGUUAAAUAGACCCUUCAAAUAAACAGUUUGAGUGCAGGCAGAUCACUUGACACCAGGAGGUUGAGACCAGCUUGGCCAACAUGGUGAAACUUUAUCAUGAUCCCUGGAGGCGGAGGUUGCAGUUAGCCAAGAUUACCCUCCAGCCUGGGUGACAGGGCGAGACUCCGUCUCCAAAAAAAAAAAACAAAAAAACAAAAAGUUUAAGUAAAUACCCAAGUAAAACUUUACAUACAAUUUUUACAAUCUCUCAUCUGUGACCAAUCUGUGUCCCAUUACUGUUUUUCCUAUUACCAAUUUUCUCUCACAUUGUUCGUUUAUAUUUGCCUUUAAUGUUGAUGUAAAGUUUAUUGAAGUAUACAAGUAUUUCAAUUUGUAUAAGAAAAGCUAUCCAAUCACCAAUGUAUGCAGUAUGGAAGUAUUUUAAUGUUUUAGCAACUGGCCAGCUUUACCAGUAAGUACGUAUUUUCUGAUCACUAGCACUGAAAGAAAACUCUGUUUUUGGCUGAAAACCUAGGGAUUUGGCUUCUUGUGGCAGAGACUGCUAGCACUCUAGCCUCUGUCUGUCCCAGCUCCCCUGCAAUUGGGCUGUCCAUGUGACUGAGUUUGGUGAAAUAAUUUUAUGGAAUAUGGCUUUUCCAAACUUGGCCCGAAAAUGGUCCCACAAGAAUGUUCACAUUUUCCUCUCUUCACUCAUUAUUACGCAGAUAAUCCAAACAAGGACUUCGUAAUGACCCCAGGAAAUGGCGGAGCCACACGGUGGAAGGAGCUUGGAUGAGGUGACCUAGUCACUGCUGGGAAGACAGCUGUCCAUGAAAGCCACUCAGCCCAGAUGAGAUGAUGAGAUUCUAGAUAUGUAGAUAAAAAUGGCAUAAACUCACUGGAAAUUUGUAGAGAUUAGAGAUCACCAACUCUAAAUUUCUCGUGGGACGGAAUGCUUUCUCCUCUACCAUGACCUCAUUCUCAACUGCCAAACUGCAUCACAAGGAACGAGAGGUGAGGGUUCUUGCUGGAUUGAAGAAGAAUGGAGUUCAUGAGACAGUCUUAAGGACAUCUGGAGACACCGAUCCUAUGUGGACAUGGCAAAAAUAGUCACACAGAUUUUAGAAUUACAGCGCCCCCCCCGACCCUUUCUUUUUGUGUAUUUGUUUCUUUUGAAUUACUGUUGUUUUUCUGUGAUAAAAAUUAGAGAAAAUUGUUAGAGAGCACUGUAAUACAAUAACAUAAGCUAGAUUAUUUCUAAAUCAUUAAACUUGUUUCUCAUCCUUCAUUUGUUCAACCACAAGAAACUAUAAUAAGCUGCAGUCAAAAAGAAACAGUUAUUGAAAACAAGUUAAGGUAAACAAAGACAGCCAAGUAUAUGUUUUAGAAUGUUUUCACAGGGAAACAUCUGCAAAAUGUUUUUGCAGUGGGAAUAGCACAAGUGUUUACAUAACAAUUGUGCAGCGUAUUUUCUGGCAAAGAGGACACACCCAUAGAGCACAUUUAAAAAUAUUUGUGUAUUUCAGCUACAUUUUCAUUGGCAAUAGACACACAACCACAGUGACUGGGCAUCAAUCAACAUCUCAUUUCCCAGUUGUUUCACAAAAUGUAUAAUGAGUCAAAAAUGUAUUUGGUUUCACACAUAUGCAUUCUUAACUUUUCUGUCUCAUGAAAUGCACUACUGGAAAAACUGGACACAUUUUGAAUACACAAAUUAAGAAUCAUCUGAAUGGAAUGAUGUCUCUAUUUUUUAAAACAAGUCUCAUUAAAAGCAAAUAUUUUUAUUUAAUUCUGAGAAAAGAAGACUUUCCUAUAAAAAUAAGGUUUUUUUUUUUAAGAACAAACAAUUUACUAUUAGUACUGUGCAAUAAACAACAAUGUGUAAUUCUGAAAGAGCCAGAAAUUCUUUUUCAAAACAUAAAAUGAAGGCAUCUUUAACUCCACUUUGAACUGGGGCUAAUUGACAGUACUUAGCAAGUAAGAACUCUAUGUACGUAAGGAUAAAUCAUUAGAAAAGAAGAUGAAAACAUAGCCAACUUUGGAAUAUAUAAAACAAACAUGUUUGGGAAAGUAGAGUACAAGUGUAUAUGAGAAGCAGUCGCUGCUACUGAACAGCUUAUCAGUUUAGGCAACAUUUUUACAAGCAAUGUCUCUGCAGUCAGUUAAGUGCUGUGAUAAGUGGGAUUUGGGAGAUAGUCCAUCAGAAACACUUUUCACGGUGCCAGUGCCAAAUAUUAGUGGAUUGAAUUGAAGUAAACACCAUUUGAUUCAUAUUUUCAUGUGUGACUCAUUACAUAAAUAUCAACAUGUAACUUGACUUUGCUGACACCAAAGCAAACAAAGACCUUGAGUAGAAAUGUAAAGACACUCCCUUUCAGCUCCAGCUUAACUCUGCAGUGAUAAACUCAUGUACAUUGCAUGGCAAACCACAGCCAGCUAUCAAUCCAGACGACGCAGCUAGUACUCACCUAAAGUCAUCAGUUCGUGGCAGGAUUCUGAAGCCCAAAGAUGAAUAACCUAGUGCUGUUUACCACCAGGGAUCAAUUAAUUAAAUGAACAAUUUAAGUAAUCAAUUGAAUCCAUCUCUCCCAAAGUUAUAGACAGGUUCAGAAAAAUAAAAUAAAAUCAAAGAGAAAAGAAGAAUUAUUAAAAAGUAGAAAUCAUUUUGCAAACAUAAAGCUAAGGUGAAAAGUUAUUUUAAAUAUAUAUAUAUAUAUAUAUAAUUUUACUUUAAGUUCUGGGAUACAUGUGCAAAUUGUGCAGGUUUGUUGUACAGGUAUACAUGUGCUAUGGUGGUUUGCUGCACUUAUCAGCCCAUCAUCUAGGGUUUUAAGCCCCGCAUGCAUUAGGUAUUUGUCCUAAUGCUAUCCCUCCCCUAGCCCCUCACCCCCGAUAGGCCUUGGUGUAUGAUGUUCCCCUACCUGUGUCCAUGUGUUCUCAUUGUUCAACUCCCACUUAUGAGUGAGAACACGUGUUUUUCUGUUUCUGUGUUAGUUUGCUGAGAAUGAUGGUUUCUAGCUUCAUCCAUGUACCUGCAAAGGACAUGAACUCAUUCUUUUUUAUGGCUACAUAGUAUUCCAUGGUGCAUAUGUGCCACGUUUCCCUUAUCCAGUCUAUCAGAUGGGCAUUUGGGUUGUUUCCAAGUCUUUGCUAUUGUAAAUUGUGCUGCAAUAAACAUAUUUUAAUAUACUUUGAAU
rnacentral:lncRNA from 10 species